AUUUUUUCCAUUUUGCCUGCCAAGGAGAAUUAGCGUAAUUCUAAUUUUAUCCCUGCCUAAAAAGCUGUAAUGUCCGUUAAGGGGAUGCAAAACGUCGAGGUCCUAUAAAGGUGGCGCUCCUCAUGCAACGACGGAGAUUAUAAGAGUCCGUCUCCUGAUCUCCCCAAUUAAUUCUUUGAGCCAUGACUUCUCGGAAAUUUCUCCAGAAUCAACUCGUGGCCGCAGUGGUACAGAAAUGUGAUACUCUUCGUUCCUUUCUCUCCGUCAAUGCGUUGAGCUAUGACUUCUCGGAAAGAUCUGGAGAAUGAACUCGCGACCGCAGUUCAUCUACAGAGCAUGAUCCCAGAUCUUCUCCUGCAAACUGCCUGGGAAUAUUUUUUUUGCAAAGUUUAGAAUCUCCAAACACAGAUGAUGAAAACAAACAAAAUGAAUAAAGGCUGUUCAAGUCAGUAAGUUUUGAGCUGAUUCCCAAACCGUUUUGAAAUUUGAAGAAGCUCAAUCUUCUUUGCCAUGUUUGCAGCUUCACACUUCAAAUGCUGCAAGGAUCCAAUUAGAGUGAGAAAAAUCAGGAAACUGUUGUAUGAAGUAUGCUUAAGCAUAAUGUAUAUUCUUCAAAUGCUGCAUGUGGACUCUUUCACUGUGAGCAAAGUUGGGCAAAAAUUGUUCCUUGCAUGCUUGUAGUUGCUUUGACACAUGAAUUAUGCAGCAGCCAUCAUGGUAACUAAAAAGACAACUGAUGUGUCUCAUCAACCAUGAGGCUCAUUGAACAAUUUUGAUGCUGUCACUGUCAGUUGUAGUCAUUUGCAAUAUGCAAAAUUUCCUAAGCGUAUCAAUUUAUUUUUCUUGUCCUUUUGGAUUUUCAUAAUAUUACAUGAAUGGAUCCAGGAGCUGUGUGCAGAUGUGAGGAUAUAAAAAUAUCAACUGAAGAUCUAUCCUUAUUUCCCCAUAAACUAACACAGCUUCCCUAAAUCUGAUGGCCCAGUCAUCUCUCAUAUUUCUGUUUUGAUAGAAACUGCAUUUGUAGGCAUUACUAUAAGCGCAAGCUAGCAGGGGACAAAAAGGAAGAUAAGGCACUAAUCGCCAGUCAUAUCAUUAGAAACUUUCUCCAAAUGAUGGGUCAUGAGGUCAUCAGGAGUUCAAUAUGAAAGCUCCUUUACACCCAGCAAGUAAUUACAUAUUCGUUACUUUUUGUACUUGGAAAGUUCAUCUGGAAGAUUUCAGGAUUUUUUCCUUGUUGGCCUGGUCUUUCAGUAGAGUAGACAAAAUCUUUAUAGUAUUCUUGUGGUUGACAAUGCUUGGAUUUGAAUUGUUUGCUUGCUGUACAUGUUUAAUUUGUGAAGAUGAUAGAGCGAAAUGUUAUACAAGGUGUCAAGUAUCGGUACGAGUAGCUUAUUGGUAAGGUGGUUUUAAGAGAAGUCUAAGAGAUGUAGUGGAGUGAUGCUAGAUAAAUUAGAAUGUAUACUAAUGAUAUAUGUAAAAUUAGUGUUUUAAA